rnacentral:misc_RNA from 1 species
UUCAAUUAACUUUCCUUGCAUUAGUACCUUGUUCGAACCAUUUUUUAUUUACUGAUUUCCAAGAAAAAAAAAACCUUAGAUAAAUCAGUUUCCGGAACGAUUAUUCCAUAUGUGACGUUAAAAUGGAAUUCGACCCGUAAACCCUUAUCAGUAUUUCACACACAGUCAAGGUUGUAUAAUAAGGUUGUUUACUCUCGAUGCGCUGCAUUGUACGGAAAAUGUCGUCUCCUAAGCUGAUAGAUAGACAAAAUCUGUCAUGACGUCACUAUCGAAUCUUUAUUCAGUGACGACAUAUGAUGUGUUUUUAUCUAUCUAACUUAAAAGACGACAUUUUCCGUACAUUGGAGCAUUUGAGGGCAUCAAGAAAAACUAACUGUUACAUCGUUAUUGUUUAUUAUUCUAAACAACUGCAGGGUCUAAAUUGAUCCAAAAAAAAAAUGGAAACCAUUAUUUGAAUUAUAUUUUUCAGGUUUAAAGGAAUAUGUGGAAUAAAGGAUUAAAGAUUGUGGGUUCCCUAUUAUUCUUUAGUUGUAUUUUAAUCUUUACUCUAGAAGCAGGUUAUAACGAAUGGUUUAUUGAAUGGUAUAGAAUGAAGGUAUAUUUGGUUGAUUCUGAUUGCAAAGUUUCAGAUCCCAGAGUAAAUUUAACAAGACUCAACAUUUCCCAAACCAACCCUAGAACAGCUGUGAUUGGAGGGAAUGUUCUCGAUGUAAAUUUUAACAUUACAAUGGAACCUGAAGAAGAGUAUUGUGUACCAAAAAUUCUGAACUUUAUUUGGUUUGGUGACAUUAUUCCGGUUAAAUACCAAGAUAACAUUAUUAGGUUGCUGUAUAUAGGAUGAUGCUUUAAUGACGACCUGAAACUCUAAAAAUAUAAAGGUCAGACUCUGGACUGAAAAUAUUACUGAAGAAUUGAGAACAAAUAUAUCUUUAAUCAAAAUUUUUGAUAUAAAUGAGUACAUAUCAGAGUUUGAAACGUAUGAGGUGUUAAAAAACGAGAGCAACAAGGGGGCAAAAUCAGAUAUUCUNAUACCAGGUAAAAUCAGAUAUUCUCAGAAACCAGGUAAAAUCAGAUAUUCUCAGAUACCAGGAAAAAUCAGAUAUUUUCCUGAAAUCAACUUAACAAUAUCAUAUUAUCUAGAUAAUUUACAGAAAUGGAGGCGUUUAUUUUGACACUGAUUCAAUUUGUGUGAAACCCCUGCUUGAUUUAUUGAUUGCUAGUUUUGUUAUUUUAUCCCCCUCACCCUGGAAUAAUAUUUCAAAUGGUGCACUGGGCUUUCCUAAGGGAUCUCGGUUCUUAAAAUAUGUACUGGAUGCUUUAAAACUUAACAUAAAAAAGGACCCUGAAGCUUACAUUCCAUAUAGAACUGGUCCUGCUUUCUUUUCUGGAUGUUUUAGAAACUACAAUGACUCUGUUAUCAAUAUGAUAUGUUUAGAGAAACUACAAUGACUCUGUUACCAAUAUAAUAUGUU